GACGAACGCUGGCGGCGGGCUUAACACAUGCAAGUCGAGCGGUAAGGCCCUUCGGGGUACACGAGCGGCGAACGGGUGAGUAACACGUGAGUAAUCUGCCCAUCACUUCGGGAUAACUCCGGGAAACCGGUGCUAAUACCGAAUAUGACCACUUCAGGCAUCUGAUGGUGGUGGAAAGUUCCGGCGGUGAUGGAUGAGCUCGCGGCCUAUCAGCUUGUUGGUGGGGUAGUGGCCUACCAAGGCUUCGACGGGUAGCCGGCCUGAGAGGGUGACCGGCCACAAUGGGACUGAGACACGGCCCAGACUCCUACGGGAGGCAGCAGUGGCGAAUAUUGGACAAUGGGCGAAAGCCUGAUACAGCAACGCCGCGUGAGGGAUGACGGCCUUCGGGUUGUAAACCUCUUUCAGCAGGGACGAAGCGCAAGUGACGGUACCUGCAGAAGAAGCACCGGCCAACUACGUG
rnacentral:rRNA from 1 species